rnacentral:rRNA from 1 species
GUCCACGCCGUAAACGAUGGGCACUAGGUGCUUGGGGGAGCGACCCCCUGAGUGCCGGCGCUAACGCAUUAAGUGCCCCGCCUGGGGAGUACGGCCGCAAGGCUGAAACUCAAAAGGAAUUGACGGGGGCCCGCACAAGCGGUGGAGCAUGUGGUUUAAUUCGACGCAACGCGAAGAACCUUACCUAGGCUUGACAUGCAUGGGAAAGCCCUGAGAAACCAGGGCCCCUCUUCGGAGUCCAUGCACAGGUGCUGCAUGGCUGUCGU